GAUGAACGCUAGCGAUAGGCCUAACACAUGCAAGUCGAGGGGCAUCACAUGAAGUAGCAAUACGGAUGGUGGCGACCGGCGCACGGGUGAGUAACACGUAUGCAACCUGCCUUCAACAAGGGGAUAACCCGUUGAAAGACGGACUAAUACCCUAUAACACAGGGGUCCCGCAUGGGGAUAUUUGUUAAAGGACAACCGGUUGAAGAUGGGCAUGCGUUCCAUUAGCUAGUUGGCGGGGUAAGGGCCCACCAAGGCAACGAUGGAUAGGGGAACUGAGAGGUUUAUCCCCCACACUGGUACUGAGACACGGACCAGACUCCUACGGGAGGCAGCAGUGAGGAAUAUUGGUCAAUGGACGCAAGUCUGAACCAGCCACGUCGCGUGAAGGAAGACGGCCCUACGGGUUGUAAACUUCUUUUGCAAGGGAAUAAAGUGGGCCACGUGUGGCCUUUUGUCAAGUACCUUGCGAAUAAGGAUCGCUAACUCCGUGCCAGCAGCCGCGGUAAUU
rnacentral:rRNA from 1 species